GUGAACGCUGGCGGUAGGCCUAACCCAUGCCAGUCGAACGGCAGCACAGUAAGCGCUUGCUCUUACGGGUGGCGAGUGGCGGACGGGUGAGGAAUACAUCGGAAUCUACUUUUUCGUGGGGGAUAACGUAGGGAAACUUACGCUAAUACCGCAUACGACCUACGGGUGAAAGCAGGGGAUCUUCGGACCUUGCGCGAUUGAAUGAGCCGAUGUCGGAUUAGCUAGUUGGCGGGGUAAAGGCCCACCAAGGCGACGAUCCGUAGCUGGUCUGAGAGGAUGAUCAGCCACACUGGAACUGAGACACGGUCCAGACUCCUACGGGAGGCAGCAGUGGGGAAUAUUGGACGAUGGGCGCAAGCCUGAUCCAGCCAUACCGCGUGGGUGAAGAAGGCCUUCGGGUUGUAAAGCCCUUUUGUUGGGAAAGAAAAGCAGCAGGUUAAUACCCCGCUGUUCUGACGGUACCCAAAGAAUAAGCACCGGCUAACUUCGUG
rnacentral:rRNA from 1 species